GACACCGUACAAAUUGUUAACAGUUUCCUUUCUUCACAUGUUUUACGACUAUUGGGCACUGAAGAAAUUACUCCUUUGCUACGAGACACGGUAGUGACUUUACGAGUCGUAUAACGGCAUAUGAUUUCAUGACGAAUUUAACUAGCACGUAUAUCUCGACUGGUUCAAUUUUCAAGAAAUUUAUUAGCUUAAACCAGUCGGUAUCAUUUCCAGAAAUUCAACGUAGCCAAGUGUACACACCGUGCAAUAUCAUGACUCUGGCAAUGUUUAAUAGUUGGGAGUAACGAAAUUUGAAAUACCUCGAAAAUCUACUGUAUCGACCGUCCUGCGGUUUCCAGCUCAGGCCCCCAUUGAAAUACAACUGCAUUUAACGUACCCUAGUGGCAUUCAGUCUGCUAGACGCGGACGACAAUGGCCGCCAGUCAGCUGACACGUGCAAACUACAAAGUACGUCAGUACGUUCUAGGUGAAACAGUUAAGAGAUGUUCAGCGAUAAUGCGACAACUGUUUAGAUAUAAAGUGACCAAGGUACGUAAAGAAGUAUGACGAAGAAACUGUAAGCAAGCAUAGCGUAAGUAAACUAAACAACAUUGACUUCCACGGAGAAUACGUUAGUCGAGGUUAAGGCCAGGGACUUGCAUGCUUCGUGGUCAUAGGCUCGCGUCGAUUUUACCUUCCCUUACUUCUCUCUCCCAUACUUUUCUUCAUUUCCCUUUCUACCGCAAUUUCUCUCCCUCCCUCUCUCUCUCUCUCUCUCUGUUUCCUGCAGCUAGUAAACACUAAGCCCGCUAAUCAAUAUCCUACCUACAGUCAACGUUAUACCUACGUAACUGUCUCCCUUACUUCUCGCUCCCACAAUUUUCUAUCCUCUUUCCGAUCUAUCCUUCCCGUUGCAGCCUGAAAUUCGACCUGUCCAGGAUGCAUUUUCUGCUGCAUAAUGCCCUGCGAAAAAUCGAUACGCUCCACACUCUAUGGCAACGUUACCUACCAGGUAGGCGUGUAGCUGAUCGUGCAGUAUAUACAGCACGUAUAAAUAUAUCUACGAUAAGUCCAAAGAGGUUCUCUUGAUUGCAAAUCAACGUUCGAGCUAUUAACGAUAUAUUCAUAGCUCGGCGCAUCUACAAGAAGUCAAAAGUGAGGAAUGCUCGUUCAGGUGGAAGAUCGAAUUUCUUUUGAAGGUGAUUGAGAAAAAUUCAUCGAAUUUAUCGAUUACCCUUGGCGACACUUAACACGUUAAUUGUGGAUAUUACCUUCGCAUCAUGCUUUCAUGGAAAUUUGCCCCACUCUUCUUACACCGUAUACUAUCUAGUUCACGAGGAUAUUAAGAUUACCUUAAUGAAGAAUUACCCCGUGCCAUGGAUUUCACUAACUGAUACUAUACUUGUAUCACUCAUCCAUAUCUAUGUAUAUACUGUAUAAGGACAACAUAAAAUGCAUGACACCAUUGGCAACCCUUACACGCAUAGGUAUGUAUCCUCAUACUAUUUAUCAUUGAAUAAAAAAAUUUUAUUUUAGUCGACACCGACGCCUUCGAUAAUCACCUUUACUGUAUUGCCACCGAGGCCGACGCUUAUUAAUUAUUUAUGAGCACCGUCGCUGAGACCUAGCUGUCCCGAUGAUAUACAUGCGGGUGGAAAAGUCACAGGGCCUCAUCGUCAGGGCCACUUUGGAAUUGAUACUUCCGACGUUUCUACUUUUGAAAAAGAAAUUGUUUCCGCAAUCAUAACUUCCUUUACUUUGAGAUACUUUUUUUUUCUUUCCUAGAUAUGCUGGAUUACACUGGUUUCGUAUUCAGACGCGUUGCCGUGUUUAGUUGGAAUUAAUGCCAUUCGUUGGGAACCCUAGGGACUUUUACGUUCUUUCUGUCUACAUACCCAAACUAAGGAUGCUCCGAUGGGAUAUAAGGAACUCAAGAGGCAUCCGGGAGAAAUGAAAUAGCCUGUUAAACGUAAACUCCAGUAUUCUACAUUGAAUACGUACACUAUCUAUGCUGUUCGAUUACCCAAAACUCGUGAAAGGAUCGCGCAUCCCAUAUUGGGAUAGGCUUGCCAGUCUGCGGGUAACGUUUGCUACGACAUUCUAAAUCAAUGUCUCUAUUGGUGAUACCUUAUCACCCAUGGAUAUCAUGCGACCUUGUGCCUUUUUGAUCGUCCGUCAUCGAUCGGAUUGUUCACAUGCUACAGUAUGAGUUUGAUGAUUCUACGGUUAUAACUUAAGAAGAAAAAAGCACUCUCAUAAAACAAUUUUUCCAUGAACUUCCGGUACUGUUCUAAUACGAUAAAAGACUCUAUGCGACGUCACAAUCGAAUUCUUGUCAAAUUCUCAUCGCUACCACCCUAUGGAUACAGGCGGAUACACCGCUACUUCCUACAGGCAUUCCGCGCAAUCAAGGUUAUUUACUCAGGUUGGUAGACCUGCUUUAUUGCGGGGUUGAACGAACUCCAUCGUUUUCGACAUUCGUUACCCGGCGAACCCGUCUCUGCACUGUAAUAAAGUCUGGCCCGGCUUCCAAGUCGAGGCUCUAUCUACUACCUACGUAAUUGACAGGCGCGCAUGGAUGAGGAAAGGAGUAGCAAGUUUUUACUAUUUGUUUAUUGUUCGACGACUGUCUAAACCGUGAGGCUCGUUCGCGCCAGCGUCGAUCGCUUAAGUCGAGAAGACAAAUGUGAAGCAGAGAAAAUAAAGAGAGAAACCUCAAGAAGAAGAGUUUACAUCGCAUCGAUUCGAUCGUCGGACAAACUGCGACAGGAAUCGCCAGUGAUCGCGAUCAUGGAACGACUUCGUUAGAUCUUUUAAGAAAGCCAAAUAAAACUUACGGUCGUAUCAUCUUGAUAUUUUCAAGUAUUACAGAAGUUUAUGGUCUAUCAAAGCUAAGGCCAUAGAACUGUCAAUUUGAGAAAGGGUAUCUAUCGUGAUUUCGGUUAACGCUACGUGUCUCUCUCUCUUGCGCACGUAAGCCCACAUAAGUCUCUCUCUCUCGCACUCGCGGAAGGUAUAGGAAAAACGAAAAAUCUUAAGCCCUCGGGGUCUUUUCUCAUACACAACCUUUCAGCAUGGCUUUGCGCGUCUGUCGAGCAUUUUUCAUACUUUUCUCCAAUCUUCAAAUAGAUCAUCACUGCUAUCCACGUAAUACGCAAACGAUGUCACGUUAACGCAACUCGCUUAAGAUUCCAAAUAGAAAAGCAUUAUACAAAGUACGUAGCAUCGUGUUCCUAUAUCGUUGUCCAUUAACGAAAACAAGAUGGUGACGCGAUACAAAAUUUUGAGAAAAUAUUUACGAGCCAGAAGUCAUUCUUAUCUUUGUUUAGCUUAUCGAGUUUCAAUACUCGUCGAUAAGCAAUACGCCUCCUUAACGUGAAUUGUAUUGGUUUAGUCAAAAUUAAAAAUCCUAUUGUUUCGAAAAAG